rnacentral:rRNA from 1 species
GACGAACGCUGGCGGCGUGCUUAACACAUGCAAGUCGAACGGAAAGGCCCUGCUUUUGUGGGGUGCUCGAGUGGCGAACGGGUGAGUAACACGUGAGUAACCUGCCCUUGACUUUGGGAUAACUUCAGGAAACUGGGGCUAAUACCGGAUAGGAGCUCCUGCUGCAUGGUGGGGGUUGGAAAGUUUCGGCGGUUGGGGAUGGACUCGCGGCUUAUCAGCUUGUUGGUGGGGUAGUGGCUUACCAAGGCUUUGACGGGUAGCCGGCCUGAGAGGGUGACCGGCGACAUUGGGACUGAGAUACGGCCCAGACUCCUACGGGAGGCAGCAGUGGGGAAUAUUGCACAAUGGGCGGAAGCCUGAUGCAGCAACGCCGCGUGCGGGAUGACGGCCUUCGGGUUGUAAACCGCUUUCGCCUGUGACGAAGCGUGAGUGACGGUAAUGGGUAAAGAAGCACAGGCUAACUACGUG